AUCGGCGGUUAACACGCGUCCACUGCGGUUCUGAGCGCGCCGUCCGCGCCGACCUGGCAGCCGCUCGCUCCGUUUUGUUAGCC
rnacentral:sRNA from 1 species